AUCACUGACACAUCACUGAUCCAUCACUGACCCAUCACUGAUCCAUCACAGGUCCAUCACAGACCCAUCACAGACCCAUCACUGGUCCAUCACAGGUCCAUCACAGACCCAUCACUGAUCCAUCACAGACCCAUCACAGGUCCAUCACAGGUCCAUCUCUGACCCAUCACAGGUCCAUCACAGGUCCAUCAGUGAUCCAUCACUAUGAGCUUGUCAACGCAUCUUAAUGAAAGCUUUGCUUCAGAUCCCAUUGUGCACAUCACUAUGGAGGAGAUCUUCAGCAAAGUCAUUCCAGACUUUCUCGGACACAGUGAGUUGCGUUCAUGGAAUUUUUCCCUCAUAAACGCAAGAUAUCCUCUAAACACACCCACGUGGACUUGGAAGAAUGCUGGGUAAUUAGCUGAUUAGGUUGGAUCAGGUGUAGUAAAGUCGGUAAAACAGUAAAAUAUUGGGAGUAGGGUUACUCCAGGAGUAGGACUGGGAACCAUUAAGGUAGGAGAAUAGGGGAGGCAUUUCAU
ensembl:lncRNA